CUGAAGCACAUACCUCUGUUGACUUGUCCAAGUCAACAAAGUUCAAACUGAACUCCAUGCGCGCGCUAUCUCAUCAAACCAUCUCACAGUUGUUUCACUUUGGGCCACCGCACCAGUGGCCGUCGUCGGCGCUGAUGUCAACUUACACCUCUAAUCCUAACCUAACUGAAACACUCAGUCAAGCUGAACACGAAAACGGCCAUGGAUUGAAGGAACGCUCCUCACACCGGCCAAACCACACCUUUGAGGAGAAGAACCCUAAGGUCUAUAAGCCAAAUUAAACAGCAAACGGUGUAACCUAAACCUCACAACCAUAGGGGUUUCAUUCUUCAACCUAAAGGAUACGCUCUGGUACGCUCAUAACAAGAAACGACGACAAAAUGUAAAUGACAUACCGGAGAAGAUGAUCGGAGAAUUCGUCGGUGCACAUAUAUUGUGGUUUGCUUGAUGUUGUUUUGGCAAUGGCUCAUGUUUCAAAUAUGUUGCAAGUUCUGCUCAUGACCCUGCUACACUAUCAUAGCAAUCCUAGUUUGAUAUUUUGGCAAGAUUUUGGUAGGGCGUUGGCUGCAAUGUUUGUCUGGAUGCUUCCUACCGUGAACUGUGGCUCGAGUUGGGUCACACUUUGAAUAGGUCUGAGCGGGCUUACAAACUGUUGUGCACUCUGCAAGUAUGGUUCUGUCUUGCAACAGGGUGUAGCAAUUUGUGGCAUUGCCUUGGUUUUGGUUCACUUGUGAUCAAGCAGUUCAUAAUCUCAAGGCUUGCAACAAUUCUGACUUGAUGACUGGUUCAACUGCUAGUUGCUUGCAAAAUGUUCUUGUGAAUCAGGAUAAGGUGUUUGUGGUUUCAUUAUCUGGUUGCAAUUCUUACUCCAAAUCGGCUAGACAACUUAGCUGAUAGUUGAUGAAUGCUUGGAACAGGUAAUGCGAAUUGAGGUGCCUCAUGUUCCUUUAGCUGUUGAUGGUGAAUGGUAGGUUCAACUUUAAUUUUUCUUAGUCAUAAUUCUUUGACAGGGUGUGGUUUAGUUUCAGUUUUGUUGCCUCCUGGUUAUAUGCCACAGGAACCACUUCCUUUGGUUUUAAGUAGCAGACUUGUGGCUUGCCUUAGGGUAAUAAUUAUGCCCUUGUUUUAACCCUAGCUUGUUAUGAAAAUGGCUUUGAGAUGCUGCAGAGUUUGUUUUUGAAUGCUUGAUGAAUGUUAUUGACCAAUGGAAUGUAUAUGCAUUGGGUCUUGGUCUGGAUGCAAAUUUUUGGAAUUUAGUUAGAGGGAUUCUGGCAUGAUGAUAAGUUAGUGGCAUGCUACUGUCAUGGUCAUAUGAUAGAAGGGCACGCAUCAUGAAUUUGGCAUGCAGUUGUGCAUUAUUAGCUUGGCUCUAAUGGUGAGAAAACUACUGCUAACAUUGUCAAGGUUGGAAAUCAAGGUUCUACUAGUUUUGUUGCCAUUGUUGGAACUGCAGCAGUCUGGUUGCAAUGUACUGCUCAUGGAUUGGCUUUGCUGCACGAAUGGGCUUGCUAUGGUAAGCUUUGGUUUCAUAACAUGUUUUGGCAUGACUCUGCAGGUACGUGUCAGCAUUUCAGAGUCAUUGGAACUGCAAGUUAGGUAUUGGGCAAUGUGACUUGGUGUUGAUAGCUUCACCUUGGUUUUGCCUCCUGUUUUACAUGUUUGUACCAUCUUGAGUUGACAGUUUUUCAGCAUGUGUAUUGCUAGCUUCCAUUCUGGUUUUGCUUCAUAUUUUGAUAAGCCUAGCCUCGUGAAUGCAUGGUUGCUCGUGUGAUGCAAAAGGAUUAAAUCAUGGCAUGGUGUACAUGUUAACUUAGGCUUAUUUGCAGACUGAUAUGAUAUGCUAAUCCAUGGCCAUUUCCUGAUGAGUUUGUGACAACAGGUGUGUUGUAGCAGGCCUGUAGGAUGAUGAUGUGAUGCUGUUGCAGAGCAGGAUGUGACAUGGCUGUGGCAGCAGUAUUGGCUAGACUAUCUGCAUCCAUGGAUUUGUUGCACAAUGGUUAAACUAUUAGGGGACUCCUUGGUCAAUGGUUAGGGCAAGCUAAAGGCAAAUGGUUAAUGGUUCAUGGUCAAGACAACAUGGUUUGCACAAUGGGACUUGCUUGCAAUGGAAGAAACCAAGAAAAAAAACAACAAAAAAUGAAGAUUGGGUGAUGUAUUGAAGAAAAAGGCCAGGCCAAGUUGGAUGGGCAAAAGCAAGUGAAAGUUGACUUUGCUCAAAGUUGACCGAAAAGUCAACUGUUGACAAAAAUCAACAAAUGGUCAAAAUGUAUUUUCUUUGUGAUUUCUUUGUAAAUGGAUAUUCAAUGGACAAUUAUGGGUGAAUUUAGGGUUUAAUGGAUUUGGGUUGACUUUGGUCAAAGUUGACCAAAAAGUCAAUUGUUGACCAAAGUCAACAGUUGGUCAAAAAUGCCAAAUUUUGUAUUUUCUUGUAUGGAAUCACAUGUAAUGGUUUAAAAUGGAUGAAAUGGAUUGGAAUGGUUUUGAA